rnacentral:lncRNA from 1 species
ACACAAGAGGAAGGGGGACAUUAGCCUCCAGCAGACUCCAUCCCCAUUGCGCAACCCCGACUGGCCCCAGACCCGGCAUGGAAGGUUUGGGUCUGAGGAGUCCCACCCCACAGCCAGGUGACGCCCCAGCCCCUCCGAGCCCUCGCCCGCCCUGUGGAAACAGCACGGCCUGUGGCCAAAGGCUUCCGGCCAUAGGGCACCUGACACCAAGGCACGACACACAGAGGCCAGCCUUGCAGGACCCGCUGCUGCCCUCGCUGUGGGCCUCUGAGCCCUUCUCAGGACCUUCAGGACCUGUAGAAAGGUGGGGGGUGUGGGGGUGGCCUCGCCAGCCUGCCCUGGAGCAAUUCCUUCAGCUUCCAAGAUGCUGCAGGCUCAAAUGGAGCUCUCACAAACACAGCCAGGGCACAGCCCACCCCAGGGUCGGGGUCCGGGGAGCCCCCUCCUCUACACAGUGGGGAAACAGACUCCUGAACUUGCCAAGUCAGCAUCUGGGAUCCUUCCAGUCCACUUCGCCUGAUCACCCAGGAACUUCUCACAAGCUAUGUGUGCCCACAGCAUAUGCUGCAGCACACCAAUAAAAGGAUGCUUGGGAGCCCCCUAUUCAGCCCUGGACCAGGCCUAGGGCCCAGCAGAGCCACUGGCCCAGCCACAGGCAGGAGCAGGAGGGCUCCCUGGAACACCAGCUGGGAAGCAGUGACCAAGUAAACUCCAGAGACCCUUCCGGCUCCCUCACUCUGACAGAGCUAGGACAAGAACGCACCAAUGACUAUGGACCCACGUGUGGGGUCUCCCUCUGGGUGGAGUCGGGUGGGGGGUACCCACUGUCCCAUGUGGAACACGUGGUACCCCCUGCAUCUGAUGCCUUGCAAAGGACAAGCAGCUACCAUCCUCAUUUUCCAGGUGCAGAGGCCACAAGGAACAAAGUGUCCCCACCACCAGCAGGUGAGCCUUCCAGCCCCUCUCCCCACUACCCAGGCCCACGCCACAGGUCAGUCUUUAGGACCCAGUGUUUCUGGCCACCCUGGGCAGAGCUGACAGCCCCAGCCUUGGAGAGAAGCUGGCAGAGACUCAGAAAGAAGACGCCAUUCCCAGUCACACCACUCUCCUGAAGGCUCUCCGCAGCGCAAUCCUCAGCACGGCCACAGGGCCCCUGCUCACCACAGCACCCCCAUGGGACUGUGCUCCCGGGGAUGGCCCUGAGCCAGGGGGAGGACCCAGCCACUGUGUGUGACCAACAGCCCAAGAUGGGCACUAACUUGUUCUCUGCCCUUCGCUGCCACAGAACCAUUCAGGAGGUGGGUGCACUUUCAGCCCACCCGCCUCCCCCUGCUGGUUCCCACAGGGUGAGCGAGGAGCUCCCAG